AGCGAACGCUGGCGGCAGGCUUAACACAUGCAAGUCGAGCGCCGUAGCAAUACGGAGCGGCAGACGGGUGAGUAACACGUGGGAACGUACCUUUUGGUUCGGAACAACACAGGGAAACUUGUGCUAAUACCGGAUAAGCCCUUACGGGAAAGAUUUAUCGCCGGAAGAUCGGCCCGCGUCUGAUUAGCUAGUUGGUGAGGUAACGGCUCACCAAGGCGACGAUCAGUAGCUGGUCUGAGAGGAUGAUCAGCCACACUGGGACUGAGACACGGCCCAGACUCCUACGGGAGGCAGCAGUGGGGAAGUAUUGGUACAAUGGGCGCAAGCCUGAUCCAGCCAUGCCGCGUGAGUGAUGAAGGCCCUAGGGUUGUAAAGCUCUUUUGUGCGGGAAGAUAAUGACUGUACCGCAAGAAUAAGCCCCGGCUAACUUCGUGCCAGCCGCCGCGGUAAC
rnacentral:rRNA from 1 species